rnacentral:rRNA from 1 species
UACGUAGGGGGCGAGCGUUGUCCGGAAUCAUUGGGCGUAAAGCGCGUGUAGGCGGCUUGGUAAGUCUGGUGUGAAACCUUGGGGCUCAACCCCAAGCCUGCACUGGAUACUGCCUGGCUUGAGUCCGGGAGGGGAGAGCGGAAUUCCUAGUGUAGCGGUGAAAUGCGCAGAUAUUAGGAAGAACACCGGUGGCGAAGGCGGCUCUCUGGAACGGUACUGACGCUGAGACGCGAAAGCGUGGGGAGCGAAC